CAGCCGCCACGGUAAUACGAAGGGUGCAAGCGUUACUCGGAAUUACUGGGCGUAAAGCGUGCGUAGGUGGUGGUUUAAGUCCGUUGUGAAAGCCCUGGGCUCAACCUGGGAAUUGCAGUGGAUACUGGAUCACUAGAGUGUGGUAGAGGAUAGUGGAAUUUCCGGUGUAGCAGUGAAAUGCGUAGAGAUGUGGAGGAACACCAGUGGCGAAGGCGACUCUCUGGUCUGUAACUGACGCUGAGGAGCGAAAGCGUGGGGAGCGAACAGGAUUAGAUACCCGAGUAGUCCCUGUCUCUUAUAC
rnacentral:rRNA from 1 species